AUGGAUGUUGGUGAAUGCAUCAUCCAUGUUCCUCAUGUGAAGCAAGUGAAGCUAUCCAAUGUUGGAGGCAGAAUUAUCAUUACAAGCGAUGGUGUAUGGGAUGAUUUGACUUUUGAAAUGGCUCUUGAAUGUUCUCGUGGAUACCCUACUAAUUUUCAAUCAUUUCCAUUGGUUAAUAGACUCAAACUUCUGGCCCCUCAUUUCGUGUUAUAUUUUCUUAUUUGA
rnacentral:rRNA from 1 species